GUAGGUAUAGUUUUAACAAAAACACUAGAUUGUGAUUCUAGAAAUAAGGGUUAAACUCCCUUUUCCCACC
rnacentral:tRNA from 4 species